AUGACCAACAAUUGUACCCUGCAGGAAACACUCAUGCCCGAGUGUUCCCCACAGGGAGCUCCCAUGCCAAGAUUGUUCACUCUAGGAUUAUCUGUACCUGCCUCUUCCACACGGAACCUUCGUGUUCAGAAAGGGCAAUCACCGUCUUCAUGUCUGUUCCAGGAGCGCCGGGAGUAUAAACCUCAAGCCUCCUUGAGACAGAGAGCACCCAGGUGUGUUAAGACCCCAGAGAGAUUAUCUGAGCUUCAGUGUUCCUCACAGGAAGCGCCCCUGUCUGAGGGUUUCUCAGGAACACCUGUGCUGGAGUAUUCUUCUCAAGGAACACCGGUUUCCAUAGAAUCCCUGCAGGGAGUAAACAUGCCUGCUCAGACCCCUCAGGGAGCACCUCUGCUUGAGAGUUUUCCAGAGGGAGGGCCAGUGUUCAAGUGUUUUCAAGAGGGAGCACCAAUGCCCAUGUGCUCCCCACAGGCAGCUUCUGUGACUGAGUGUUCCCCACAGGGAGCUCUGGGAUUAUCUGUACCCACCCUUCAUGUCCAGAAAGGGCGAUCACAGCCUUCAUGUCUGUUUCAGGAGCGCCGGGAGUAUAAGCCUCAAGCCUCCUUGAGACAGAGAGCACCUAAGCCUGUUAAGUCCCCACAGAGAUCACCUGUGCUUGAGUGUUACACUCAGGGAACUCCAGUUUCCACAGAAUCCCUGCAGGGAGUAUAUUUGCCAGCUGAGACCCCACAGGGAGAAUCUGUGCUUGCAAAUUUCCCAGAGGGAGGGCCACUGCUCAAGUGUUCCCCAGAGGGAUCAUUCAUACCCAAGUGUUCCACACAGGGAGCACGUGUGUCCAAAUGUUCCACACAGAGAGAAUAUGUGCACACCGGGAGCAUACAAGGAGCAAUGGUGCUUAAGUGUUCCCCACAGGGAGAACCUGUGUUUGAGUCGCCCCCAGCGGAACCGUUUAUUCCCAAAGGUUCCCCUCAGGGAGCAUUUUCCAAUCAUGGAACACCCAUGCCCAAGUUGUUCACCCUGGGAAUAUCUGUACCCGUCUUAUCCACAAAGGACAAACAGCUACAUAAGUAUCAAGCCUUCUUGAGACAGAGAAAACGCUUGUCUGUCAAGACUGCAAAGAAAUCUCCUGUGCCUGAGUUUUCCUCACAGGGAGCACCUGUGACUGAAUGUUUACCAAAGGAAGCACCCCUGUCUGAGUGUUUCUCAGGAACACCUGUGCUGGAGUAUUCUUCUCAAGGAAAACUGGUUUCCACAGGAUCCCCACAGGAAGUAUACAUGCCUGCUAAGACCCCACAUGAAGCACCUCUGCUUGAGAGUUAUCCAGAGGGAGGGCCGGUGUUUGAGUUACCCCCAGCGGAAGCGUUCACUCCCGAAGGUUCCCCUCAGGGAGCAUCUUCCAAUCAUAGAACACCCAUGCCCAAGUUGUUCACCCUAGGAAUAUCUAUACCCGUCUUAUCCACAAAGAAGUACCAGCUACAUAAGUAUCAAGCUUUCUUGAGACAGAGAACACAUUCAUCUGUCAAGACCGCACAGAAAUCUCCUGUGCCUGAGUUUUCCUCUCAGGGAGUACCUGUGACUGAAUGUUUCCCAAAGGAAGCACCCCUGUCUGAGUGUUUCUCAGGAACACCUGUGCUGGAGUAUUCUUCUCAAGGAACACUGGUUUCCACAGGAUCCACACAGGAAGUAUACAUGGCUGCUAAGACCCCACAGGAAGCACCUCUGCUUGAGAGUUAUUCAGAGGGAGGGCCGGUGUUUGAGUUACCCCCAGCGGAAGUGUUUACUCCCGAAGGUUCCCCUCAGGGAGCAUCAUCCAAUCAUAGAACACCCAUGCCUAAGUUGUUUACCCUAGGAACAUCUGUACCCGUCUUAUCCACAAAGAAAAACCAGCUACAUAAGUGUCAAGCCUUCUUGAGACAGAGAAAAUGCUUGUCUGUCAAGACUGCACAGAAAUCUCCUGUGCCCGAGUCUUCCUCUCAGGGAGCACCUGUGACUGAAUGUUUCCCACAGAAAGAACCCAUUCUUGAGUGUUACCCAGAGGAAGGACCCAUGAUUGUGUAUUCCCUGGAGGAAGAACCCAUGCUUGUGUGUUCCAUAGAUGAAGAACCCAUGUUUGUGUGUUCCCCAGAGGAAGAAUCCGUGAUUGUGUGUUCCCCAGAGGAAGAACCCAUGCUUGUGUGUUCCUCAGAGGAAGAACCCAUGCUUGUGAGUUUCUCAGAAAAAACUUCAGAGUCUGAGUUUUCUCCACAGGAAGCACUCAUGCUUGAGUCUUCCCCUCAGGGAGCAUCUUCCCCUCAUCAAAAACCCUUGCCUGAUGGCUUCCCUCUUGAAGCUUCCAUACCCAAGUUAGUCAGUCUGGCAAUAUCUUCACUCGUUUCUUCCAUAUGGAAGCGCCAGAAGCAUAAGUCUCAACCUUCCUUGAGACAGAGAACACUUUUACCUGCCAGGUCCUCACAGAAAUCACCUGUACCAGAGAGUUCUUCACAAGAUGCGGCCAUGCCUGAGUGUUCCCCUGAGGAAGCAUCCAUGACCACCGGGACCCCACAAAACUUGUCUUGUGACCAUCUUGACAAAGCUACAGUGGAGGCAACAGAACCCUGCAGGUCCCCAUAUAAUAAGGCAAGGAUGUCACAGGGAGUCUCCGAACCUGCCAAGGGUCAAAAAGAAGCAUCCAUGUCUGAGUGUUCCCCAGAGGAAGAAGAACCCAUGCUUGUGUGUUCCAUAGAGGAAGAACCCAUGCUUGUGUGUUACCCAGAGGAAGAACCCAUGCUUGUGUGUUACCCAGAGGAAGAACCCAUGCUUGUGUGUUUCUCAGAGAAAGCAUCCAAGCCUGAGUUUUCCCCACAGGAAGCCCUCAUGCCUGAGUCUUACCCUCAGGAAGUAUCUUCCCCUCGUCAAACACCCUCGCCCUCUGGCAUCCCUGAUGAAGCUCCCAUGCCCAAGUUAUUCAAUCUUGGAAUAUCUUCGCCCGUUUCUUCCACAAGGAAGCACCAGCAGGAUAAGUCUCAAGCUUCCUUGAAACACAGAAAGAAACUAUUGCCCGUCAAGUCCUUACAGAAAUCACCUGUGCCAGAGAGUUCUUCACAAGGAGCAGCCAUGCCUGAGUGUUCCUCUCAGGAAGCAUCCAUGCACACCGGGACCCCACAAAGCCUUUCUCUUCUUACAGUCCAUCUUGACAAAGCAAAGGUGGAGGAACCAUACAGGUCCUCAUCUAAUAAGGCUAGGACGUCACAGGGAGUAUCCCAACCUGCCAAGACUCUGAAAGAAACACCCAUGCCUGAAUGUUCCUCAGAGGAAGAACCCCUGCUUGUGUAUUCCCCGGAGGAAGAACCCAUGAUUGUGUGUUCCCCAGAGGAAGAACCUAUGCUUGUGUGUUCCCUGGAGGAAGAACCCAUGCUUGUGUGUUCCCUGGAGAGACUACCUGAGCCUGAGUUUUCCCCACAGGGAGCACCAACUCUGUCCCUUCAGCAAUACAAUAAAUGUGCUCCAUGCAAAAAACAGCACACAAUAAAAGAUGCGAAGGUACAGCAGAAGCCUCAAAGAAGGAGAAAAAAGAGGAACCAAAGGCAGCAGGCAAGACCUUGUCCGAGCUCCCAACCUAAUCUGAAAAGAAAAUAUGCAUGUAGCAGAAACAAACUGGACAACUUAAAUGUAUGUCAGCUUUCAAGGAGGAAAAAUACAAACAACAGAGGUCAACGCUUCUUUCACCUCAGAGCCUGUCCAUGCAGCCAUAUUUAUUUGAGAAGUCAGCAGUCGAGACAGCGAAACUCUUGUGCCCGUCAACCGCCAAAUGCAGACCAAAUGCAAAGAGCUCAUUGGAACCCUUACCCAAGAUCCUGUCCACGGUACCAACCCAGUUGGUGGAGACAGCAAAACCCGCAUACCCAUCAAAGAGGACCAAUGCAUCUGAGGCAAAGAACUGUAAGACUUCCCCCCAGAGCAUAUCCAUGGCCCAGGCAGUGGAACCCUCAUCGCCCUCAAUCACGACCAUCAGAUCUGGGACAAAGAGCUCAGAGAGCUCCCCCAAGAGCACAUCCAUGGUUCCAGCCAAGUUUGUGGAGGCAACAGAAUGUUUAUGCUUCUCAAUCACAACCACGGCAUCUGGGGCAAAGAGCUAUGAGGCUUCAUCCAAGAACAUAUCCAUGGUCCCAUCCCUAUUUUAGGAGGCAGAAGAACCCUCAUGCCCAUCAAUCACGACCAUCACAUUUAGGGCAAAGAGAACUGAGGGUUCAUCCAAGAGUGCAUCCUUCAGUCCAGCCCCACUUGUGGAGGCAACAGAAUGCUUAUGCCCCUCAAUCAAGACCAUGGCAUCUGGGGCAAAGAGCUCUGAGGCUUCACCCAAGAGCAUAUCUAUGGUCCCAUCCCCAUUUUUGGAGGCAGCAAAAUCCUAAUGCCUAUCAGUCACGACUAUCACAUCUGGGGCAAAGAGCUCUGAGGGUUCACCCAAGAGCCUAUUCAUGAUUCCACUCCAACUCAUGAGUCACCUAGUUCGUAAAAUAUUUGGUGACUAAAAGCCCCAACUGAAAACAUUUUUAUACUUUAGAAAAAUUAACAUUUAUUUUUAUAAUCUGUGCAUUUGUAAGAAAAUAUCUGUGCAUUUGUAAGGAAAUAUCUGCAUUUAUAAGAAAAUGUGCAUUUUUAUGAAAAUAUCUGUGCAUUAGUAAGAAAAUAUCUGUGCAUUUGUAAGAAAGUAUCUCUGCAUUUGUAAAAAAAUAAAUAAAAAUCUGUUAAUUUAUCA
ensembl:lncRNA